ACACUAUCAUUAACUGAAUCCAUAGGUUAAUGAGGCGAACCGGGGGAACUGAAACAUCUAAGUACCCCGAGGAAAAGAAAUCAACCGAGAUUCCCCCAGUAGCGGCGAGCGAACGGGGAGCAGCCCAGAGCCUGAAUCAGUGUGUGUGUUAGUGGAAGCGUCUGGAAAGGCGCGCGAUACAGGGUGACAGCCCCGUACACAAAAAUGCACAUGCUGUGAGCUCGAUGAGUAGGGCGGGACACGUGGUAUCCUGUCUGAAUAUGGGGGGACCAUCCUCCAAGGCUAAAUACUCCUGACUGACCGAUAGUGAACCAGUACCGUGAGGGAAAGGCGAAAAGAACCCCGGCGAGGGGAGUGAAAAAGAACCUGAAACCGUGUACGUACAAGCAGUGGGAGCACGCUUAGGCGUGUGACUGCGUACCUUUUGUAUAAUGGGUCAGCGACUUAUAUUCUGUAGCAAGGUUAACCGAAUAGGGGAGCCGAAGGGAAACCGAGUCUUAACUGGGCGUUAAGUUGCAGGGUAUAGACCCGAAACCCGGUGAUCUAGCCAUGGGCAGGUUGAAGGUUGGGUAACACUAACUGGAGGACCGAACCGACUAAUGUUGAAAAAUUAGCGGAUGACUUGUGGCUGGGGGUGAAAGGCCAAUCAAACCGGGAGAUAGCUGGUUCUCCCCGAAAGCUAUUUAGGUAGCGCCUCGUGAAUUCAUCUCCGGGGGUAGAGCACUGUUUCGGCAAGGGGGUCAUCCCGACUUACCAACCCGAUGCAAACUGCGAAUACCGGAGAAUGUUAUCACGGGAGACACACGGCGGGUGCUAACGUCCGUCGUGAAGAGGGAAACAACCCAGACCGCCAGCUAAGGUCCCAAAGUCAUGGUUAAGUGGGAAACGAUGUGGGAAGGCCCAGACAGCCAGGAUGUUGGCUUAGAAGCAGCCAUCAUUUAAAGAAAGCGUAAUAGCUCACUGGUCGAGUCGGCCUGCGCGGAAGAUGUAACGGGGCUAAACCAUGCACCGAAGCUGCGGCAGCGACGCUUAUGCGUUGUUGGGUAGGGGAGCGUUCUGUAAGCCUGUGAAGGUGUGCUGUGAGGCAUGCUGGAGGUAUCAGAAGUGCGAAUGCUGACAUAAGUAACGAUAAAGCGGGUGAAAAGCCCGCUCGCCGGAAGACCAAGGGUUCCUGUCCAACGUUAAUCGGGGCAGGGUGAGUCGACCCCUAAGGCGAGGCCGAAAGGCGUAGUCGAUGGGAAACAGGUUAAUAUUCCUGUACUUGGUGUUACUGCGAAGGGGGGACGGAGAAGGCUAUGUUGGCCGGGCGACGGUUGUCCCGGUUUAAGCGUGUAGGCUGGUUUUCCAGGCAAAUCCGGAAAAUCAAGGCUGAGGCGUGAUGACGAGGCACUACGGUGCUGAAGCAACAAAUGCCCUGCUUCCAGGAAAAGCCUCUAAGCAUCAGGUAACAUCAAAUCGUACCCCAAACCGACACAGGUGGUCAGGUAGAGAAUACCAAGGCGCUUGAGAGAACUCGGGUGAAGGAACUAGGCAAAAUGGUGCCGUAACUUCGGGAGAAGGCACGCUGAUAUGUAGGUGAAGCGACUUGCUCGUGGAGCUGAAAUCAGUCGAAGAUACCAGCUGGCUGCAACUGUUUAUUAAAAACACAGCACUGUGCAAACACGAAAGUGGACGUAUACGGUGUGACGCCUGCCCGGUGCCGGAAGGUUAAUUGAUGGGGUUAGCGCAAGCGAAGCUCUUGAUCGAAGCCCCGGUAAACGGCGGCCGUAACUAUAACGGUCCUAAGGUAGCGAAAUUCCUUGUCGGGUAAGUUCCGACCUGCACGAAUGGCGUAAUGAUGGCCAGGCUGUCUCCACCCGAGACUCAGUGAAAUUGAACUCGCUGUGAAGAUGCAGUGUACCCGCGGCAAGACGGAAAGACCCCGUGAACCUUUACUAUAGCUUGACACUGAACAUUGAGCCUUGAUGUGUAGGAUAGGUGGGAGGCUUUGAAGUGUGGACGCCAGUCUGCAUGGAGCCGACCUUGAAAUACCACCCUUUAAUGUUUGAUGUUCUAACGUUGACCCGUGAUCCGGGUUGCGGACAGUGUCUGGUGGGUAGUUUGACUGGGGCGGUCUCCUCCUAAAGAGUAACGGAGGAGCACGAAGGUUGGCUAAUCCUGGUCGGACAUCAGGAGGUUAGUGCAAUGGCAUAAGCCAGCUUGACUGCGAGCGUGACGGCGCGAGCAGGUGCGAAAGCAGGUCAUAGUGAUCCGGUGGUUCUGAAUGGAAGGGCCAUCGCUCAACGGAUAAAAGGUACUCCGGGGAUAACAGGCUGAUACCGCCCAAGAGUUCAUAUCGACGGCGGUGUUUGGCACCUCGAUGUCGGCUCAUCACAUCCUGGGGCUGAAGUAGGUCCCAAGGGUAUGGCUGUUCGCCAUUUAAAGUGGUACGCGAGCUGGGUUUAGAACGUCGUGAGACAGUUCGGUCCCUAUCUGCCGUGGGCGCUGGAGAACUGAGGGGGGCUGCUCCUAGUACGAGAGGACCGGAGUGGACGCAUCACUGGUGUUCGGGUUGUCAUGCCAAUGGCACUGCCCGGUAGCUAAAUGCGGAAGAGAUAAGUGCUGAAAGCAUCUAAGCACGAAACUUGCCCCGAGAUGAGUUCUCCCUGACUCCUUGAGAGUCCUGAAGGAACGUUGAAGACGACGACGUUGAUAGGCCGGGUGUGUAAGCGCAGCGAUGCGUUGAGCUAACCGGUACUAAUGAACCGUGAGGCUUAACCUU
rnacentral:rRNA from 1 species